rnacentral:rRNA from 1 species
CCUACGGGAGGCAGCAGUGGGGAAUAUUGCGCAAUGGGCGAAAGCCUGCCGCAGCGACGCCGCGUGAGGGAUGAAGGUCUUCGGAGCGUAAACCCCUGUCAGCAGGGAAGAACGGUCGCUGUGCUAAUCAGCAGUGAAUUGACGGUACCUGCAAAGCAAGCACCGGCUACCUCCGUGCCAGCAGCCGCGGUAAUACGGAGGGUGCGAGCGUUAAUCGGAAUUACUGGGCGUAAAGCGCUCGUAGGCGGUAUAUCAAGUCAAGGGUGAAAUCCCCGCGCUCAACGUAGGAACGGCCUUUGAAACUGGCAAACUGGAGUGGGUGAGAGGAUAGUGGAAUUCCAGGUGUAGGGGUGAAAUCCGUAGAUAUCUGGAGGAACAUCAGUGGCGAAGGCGACUAUCUGGCACAUAACUGACGCUGAGGAGCGAAAGCGUGGGUAGCAAACAGGAUUAGAUACCCCGGUAGUC